CCUACGGGAGGCAGCAGUGGGGAAUCUUGCACAAUGGGGGAAACCCUGAUGCAGCGACGCCGCGUGAGUGAAGAAGUAAUUCGUUAUGUAAAGCUCUAUCAGCAGGGAAGAAAAUGACGGUACCUGAGUAAGAAGCCCCGGCUAACUACGUGCCAGCAGCCGCGGUAAUACGUAGGGGGCAAGCGUUAUCCGGAUUUACUGGGUGUAAAGGGAGCGUAGACGGCAGUGCAAGUCUGGAGUGAAAGGCGGGGGCUCAACCCCCGGACUGCUCUGGAAACUGUACGGCUGGAGUGCAGGAGAGGGAAGUGGAAUUCCUGGUGUAGCGGUGAAAUGCGUAGAUAUUAGGAGGAACACCAGUGGCGAAGGCGGCUUACUGGACUGUAACUGACGUUGAGGCUCGAAGGCGUGGGGAGCGAACAGGAUUAGAUACCCUAGUAGUC
rnacentral:rRNA from 1 species